rnacentral:rRNA from 1 species
UGUGGUUAAAAAGCUCGUAGUUGGAUCUCAACAGCCUUGGAAGCGGUUAACUUUGUAGUUUUACUACUUUAUAGGCUGUGCUUUUGCUGGAGGUUUAGGGGUGCUCUUGAUCGAGUGUCUCUGGAUGCCAGCAGGUUUACUUUGAAAAAAUUAGAGUGCUCAAAGCAGGCUAAAAUGCCUGAAUAUUCGUGCAUGGAAUAAUAGAAUAGGAUGUCGAUCCUAUUUUGUUGGUUUUCGGGACUCGACAUAAUGAUAAAUAGGGACAGUCGGGGGCAUUUGUAUUCAAACGACAGAGGUGAAAUUCUUGAACCGUUUGAAGACAAACUACUGCGAAAGCAUUUGCC